CCUCCACUUCUGAAGUGCUUAAAAUUUAUUUGGAGUCAGAGGUGUCAGAACUUCUAUGCACAAAAAAAUAAGUAACAAUGGAGCAGUGGAUAUGUUGACGGACAAAUGGGAGAUUUGGAUGGUAACGUUCCACAAACCCACACCUGUGUUAUCAACCAUACCUUAGGACAGAAGGAACGAGUUUGCGGAAAGGAUGAAAGAUAUUGACUGCAACUGAUAAGACAGCCCCUAUAGGAAUUAAGGAUGUCGAGGACAGAAUAACUGUGUGGAGAUGUGCUAAUGUGGCAGGCAUGUUGGCACUUGCCAGUAAUUCACACAUGCUGACAGAGAGACUACAGACGUAUUCUCAACUAAAGAGCUGUCUUGAGAGCUACAUCAGGCUCCUUGAAUGGAAGCAGCACUGUUCACAAUAGCAAAGACUUGGAACCAACCCAA